rnacentral:rRNA from 1 species
GACGAACGCUGGCGGCGUGCUUAACACAUGCAAGUCGAACGGAAAGGCCCUGCUUUUGUGGGGUGCUCGAGUGGCGAACGGGUGAGUAACACGUGAGUAACCUGCCCUUGACUUUGGGAUAACUUCAGGAAACUGGGGCUAAUACCGGAUAGGAGCUCCUGCUGCAUGGUGGGGGUUGGAAAGUUUCGGCGGUUGGGGAUGGACUCGCGGCUCAUCAGCUUGUUGGUGGGGUAGUGGCUUACCAAGGCUUUGACGGGUAGCCGGCCUGGGAGGGUGACCGGCCACAUUGGGACUGAGAUACGGCGCAGACUCCUACGGGAGGCAGCAGUGGGGAAUAUUGCACAAUGGGCGGAAGCCUGAUGCAGCAACGCCGCGUGCGGGAUGACGGCCUUCGGGUUGUAAACCGCUUUCGCCUGUGACGAAGCGUGAGUGACGGUAAUGGGUAAAGAAGCACCGGCUAACUACGUG